UACGUAGGGGGCAAGCGUUGUCCGGAAUCAUUGGGCGUAAAGAGCGUGUAGGCGGCCCGGUAAGUCCGCCGUGAAAGUCCAGGGCUCAACCCUGGAAUGCCGGUGGAAACUGCCGGGCUGGAGUCCGGAAGAGGCGAGUGGAAUUCCUGGUGUAGCGGUGAAAUGCGCAGAUAUCAGGAGGAACAUCAAUGGCGAAGGCAGCUCGCUGGGACGGUACUGACGCUGAGACGCGAAAGCGUGGGGAGCAAACAGG
rnacentral:rRNA from 1 species